rnacentral:rRNA from 1 species
UGGGGAAUUUUGGACAAUGGGCGAAAGCCUGAUCCAGCAAUGCCGCGUGUGUGAAGAAGGCCUUCGGGUUGUAAAGCACUUUUGUCCGGAAAGAAAUCCUUGGCUCUAAUACAGUCGGGGGAUGACGGUACCGGAAGAAUAAGCACCGGCUAACUACGUGCCAGCAGCCGCGGUAAUACGUAGGGUGCAAGCGUUAAUCGGAAUUACUGGGCGUAAAGCGUGCGCAGGCGGUUUGCUAAGACCGAUGUGAAAUCCCCGGGCUCAACCUGGGAACUGCAUUGGUGACUGGCAGGCUAGAGUAUGGCAGAGGGGGGUAGAAUUCCACGUGUAGCAGUGAAAUGCGUAGAGAUGUGGAGGAAUACCGAUGGCGAAGGCAGCCCCCUGGGGCCCAAAUACUGACGCUCAUGCACGAAAAGGCGUGGGGGAGCAAACAGGAUUGAUACCCCUGGGUAGUCCACGCCCCUAAAACGAUGUCACUAGUUGUUGGGGAUUCAUUUUCCUAGUAACGUAGCUAACGCGUGAAGUUGACCGCCUGGGGGAGUACGUCGCAAGAUUAAAACUCAAAUGAA